AUUGAACGCUGGCGGCAUGCCUUACACAUGCAAGUCGAACGGUAACGGGCCUUCGGGUGCCGACGAGUGGCGAACGGGUGAGUAAUGUAUCGGAACGUACCUUUCAGUGGGGGAUAACGUAGCGAAAGUUACGCUAAUACCGCAUAUUCGGUGAGCAGGAAAGCAGGGGAUCGCAAGACCUUGCGCUGAUUGAGCGGCCGAUAUCAGAUUAGCUAGUUGGGUAGGUAAAGGCUCACCAAGGCGACGAUCUGGAGAGGGUCUGAGGGGAUGAUCCGCCACACUGGAACUGAGACACGGUCCAGACUCCUACGGGAGGGAGCAGUGGGGAAUUUUGGACAAGGGGGGCAACCCUGAUCCAGCCCUGCCGCGUGAGUGAAGAAGGCCUUCGGGUUGUAAAGCUCUUUCGGCCGGGAAGAAAUCGUAUGGGUUAAUACCCUGUGCGGAUGACGGUACCGGCAUAAGAAGCACCGGCUAACUACGUGCCAGCCGCCGCCGUAAGAC
rnacentral:rRNA from 1 species